rnacentral:lncRNA from 1 species
AGCCUCCACCCGCCACCCCAGGAACCUCGUGCUUCUAGGUAAUGAAUCUCCCACCACAGCUCCACUGGAUGGAACCGCCCCAGCUUCCUCCAGCCCAAACUGCUGCACCCACCACCCAGAGAAAUGGAAGUCAAGGACUCAGCAGUCCAAGGCAGCCCUUCUGAAGCAACUUCAGGGGCUCAGCAAAUAUUUGUUGAGAACCUCCUCUGUGCCUGGCUGGAUCAGGGUGGGGCUGUAGAGCUGCACAUCAUAGUCUGCAUCCGGGUCAGCCCUGAAUCUCAGGCACUGGAAGGUUACCCUGAUGGGCAGGACCCACUCCCAUCACUAAGAGAACAUCAAAAGGGCAGGUGUGGGGGUGGAUAGGAAGAUCAGGAUCUCUGAAAGGACUCCACCUGGACCCAUGAUUCAUGACUCAACCAGUCCACCCAGAAGCUGACUCAGAGCAUAAGGAGCAUUUUCCACACCCCUAGGAUUUCAUCUCCAACCAAUCAGCAUUCCCCAUUCUCUAGCCCCUGUCCACCAAACUAUUCUUUAAAAACCUUAGCUCUAAGCUUUAUUUAUUUAUUUAAGUAAUACACUCCUGUCUUCCACUUAGCUGGUUCUGUAUUUAUUAAACUCUUUCUCUACUGCCAUACCGCUAUCUCAGUAAAUUAGCUCUAUCUGUGCAGUUGGCAAGAAGAACUGGUCAGGUGGUUAAAACACUACAGAUAGGCAUUGUUAAACAAAACAAUGGACUAAGCCCCUGCACUAGGCUCCAACAGAACAGACAAAAUCAAAAUGGAGUCACUCAUGCUAAAUGUCAUAUAAUCAAACUGAAACUCUAAGGAAGCUGAUAAAUCCUAAAACAGACCUUUUUUUUUCCUGAAAACAGGAAAUUUCAGUCUACCAGAGUCAACCUAGUAAGAAAGUUGCCUCUUCUUUGACCUUUAUGAGAAAGUAACCUGAAGUAACCUGACAUUAAUGAAUCAGCUUCUCUUCUACUAUUCUGUUUCCUUACUCCCACCUUACAAAGCUCACUGCUCUGCUUGCCCUAGUGAGAGAACUCAUUCUAUUGUGUAGAGUAGAGUCAGCCAUGAUUCAUGAAUUAUGAAUAAAAGACAAUUAGAUCUAUAA